rnacentral:rRNA from 1 species
CCUACGGGAGGCAGCAGUGAGGAAUAUUGGUCAAUGGACGAGAGUCUGAACCAGCCAAGUAGCGUGAAGGAUGACUGCCCUAUGGGUUGUAAACUUCUUUUAUAUGGGAAUAAAAUGUUCCACGUGUGGGAUUUUGUAUGUACCAUAUGAAUAAGGAUCGGCUAACUCCGUGCCAGCAGCCGCGGUAAUACGGAGGAUCCGAGCGUUAUCCGGAUUUAUUGGGUUUAAAGGGAGCGUAGUUGGAUUGAUAAGUCAGUUGUGAAAGUUUGCGGCUCAACCGUAAAAUUGCAGUUGAAACUGGCAGUCUUGAGUACAGUAGAGGUGGGCGGAAUUCGUGGUGUAGCGGUGAAAUGCUUAGAUAUCACGAAGAACUCCGAUUGCGAAGGCAGUUCACUGGACUGCAACUGACACUGAGGCUCGAAAGUGUGGGUAUCAAACAGGAUUAGAUACCCUUGUAGUA